AUUGAACGCUGGCGGCAGGCCUAACACAUGCAAGUCGAGCGAGCGGCGGACGGGUGAGUAAUGUAUGGGGACUGCCCGACAGAGGGGGAUAACUACUGGAAACGGUAGCUAAUACCGCAUACUAUCGUAUAACCCAUAUGGCAUUAGCUAGUAGGUGAGGUAAUGGCUCACCUAGGCGACGAUCCCUAGCUGGGCUGAGAGGAUGAUCAGCCACACUGUGACGGAGACACGGCCCAGAGCCAGACGGAAGGACCAGUAGGACAAAUUGAGCAAUGGGCGCAAGCCGGAUGAAGACAGGCCGAGUGUAUGAAGAAGGCACUAGGGGUGUAAAUGACAAUCAGUCGGAAGGCGUUACCGACAGAAGAAGCACCGGCUAACUCCGUGCCAGCAGCCGCGGUAAUUC
rnacentral:rRNA from 1 species